rnacentral:lncRNA from 1 species
CUCGCGCCCCCCUGCUGCAACCCCGGCCCGGCGCCGCCCGCGCCCCGCACUUCCUUCGCGACCCCCGAGCCGGUGGCCUUGCCCCCCACCUCGUGUGUGGCCGCCUAGCAUCCUGAGAGGCCGGCACCGGCGUCCUGGCGCCUCCGCUUUCACCUCUGGGGCGCCGCGGCCGCCUCCGAACCGCAUUGCGCGGAUCCUCAUACCUCCAGGGUGGGGUGUAGGACAAAGGGACCGGACGGCUCGGAUGGGCGCCUUGUCUGCGUCGUCGCACUAGGAGCACGUCCAAGCCACCCCCCCGCCCAACCGGGAAAAUGAGCUGUUUUCCCAAUCGCGAAACAUUCCCCCACUCCGCUUUCCCAACCACCAACAAAAUUUAUCCCUGAGAGCGAUUUUGAGGAGUGUCUUGACCUCAUCCAUCGAAGGAUGACAGUGGCUACACAAUGACAUUGUUUUACUCAAAAGAUGUGUUAUCCGCGUGUUUCACCGCAGGAAAACAAACAGCUACUGGCUUGAGAGUUGUCGAGUGGGUGUUGUUGACCGAAGGGGACUGAGGCGUAGCAUUGGCCCUAGGUGUCCCAAAUGAGAUUAUUUGAAACCAGAAGCAGAUGUCUUCAUCAAACACGAAGUGCUAAAGAUUUCAGCAAAAACAGACGGAGUUUUCCUUGGGUAAAGAUCUCAGAAACAAGCCCAUCUUUCCAAGAACCGGAAUUGCAAGAAUCCAGGAUGGGUUACCUGGCUCCUUUGGCUAACGUAUCACAACAGGCUGCAGGCAUCUCAGGGUUCCACGAGGAAGGAUCAACCUCCAAGCCUACUCAGUCAACCACGAAUACCGGUGCAGGCCAAGGAACCCGGAGUCUCACGUGCGACGGAAAUAGGCAGCUGUACACAUUUCCGCAGGAAAACAUUGAAAGCAAAAAUUGUGAUCACACCCAAUCUUUUCCUCUGUACCCUGCCCAAAGUCGCCCACGUCCCCAAAAGGAAGAGAACAGUAGGUCAAAUAAGUUUGUUUAUUCCUUUGUUCAGCUAACAUUUCUCUUAAGGGGUCUUUGUUUCCAGCAAGGGAAGGGCUCCUGCCUUUCCGGCCGGGCCAACUUCUCUUCAGGGAAGGGGCCCCUGGAUACCCAACUCAGCAAGAACUCAUCCCAACUGCAGGAAAGGCGCAAGCUCGGAAGACAGCAUCUCAGGGCCGCGCUCCAAGGAAGGCAGCACCGUGUAAAUUCGAGGAAUGAGAGGCCAGAGGGAGAAAGAGCCCUCAAAGUGGGGGUGGGUUAG